rnacentral:rRNA from 1 species
AUUGAACGCUGGCGGCAGGCCUAUCACAUGCAAGUCGAGCGAGCGGCGGACGGGUGAGUAAUGUAUGGGGACUGCCCGAUCGAGGGGGAUAACUACUGGAAACGGUGGCUAAUACCGCUUACUAUCGGAUAACCCAUAUGGGUUUAGCUAGUAGGUGGGGUAAAGGCUCACCUAGGCGACGAUCUCUAGCUGGUCUGAGAGGAUGAUCAGCCACACGGGGACGGAGACACGGCCCAGACUCCCACGGGGGCAGCAGUGGGGAAUAUUGCAAUAUGGGAGAAAGCCUGAUGCAGCCAUGCCGCGUGUAUGAAGAAGGCCUUAGGGUUGUAAAGUACUUUCAGCGGGGAGGCGUUACCCGCAGAAGAAGCACCGGCUAACUCCGUGCCAGCAGCCGCGUAAUUC